UGAAGCUGGAAUCGCUAGUAAUCGCGAAUCAGAAUGUCGCGGUGAAUACGUUCCCGGGUCUUGUACACACCGCCCGUCACACCAUGGGAGUCGGAAAUGCCCGAAGUCAGUGACCCAACCACAACGUGAACUUCGUUCGCGUGGAGGGAGCUGCCGAAGGUGGAGCCGGUAACUGGGGUGAAGUCGUAACAAGGUAUC
rnacentral:rRNA from 1 species